ensembl:lncRNA novel transcript, antisense to NDUFA11
CUGUCACCGAGGGACUCCUGGGCGGAACCUCCUUACACCACCCCCACAUGCCAGCUGUCCUGACCAAGGGACCCCUAGCUCAUGGAGCACACCUGACACGUUUCAGAUCCUAUCCCCUGGGUGGCCCCCUUCAGCCCUUUCUCUUGAAGACCCUCGAUAAGGACCUGAUGGGAACAUUCCUUGCUUCAGAGACCCCUAGGAGCAGGUCAGCCGACCUGGACUUGCAGCCCAGCUUCAAAUGACCCUGGAGCAGUUAAUAUGCUUCUCCAACCUUCAGUCCCUACCUGUAAGAAAUGGAGACACAAUAACGUCUGUCUUACUAUUAAUAAAUAUGCAAAAUA